UCCGGCCGGGAACUCAAAGGAGACUGCCAGUGAUAAACUGGAGGAAGGUGGGGAUGACGUCAAGUCAUCAUGGCCCUUACGACCAGGGCUACACACGUGCUACAAUGGCGCAUACAAAGAGAAGCGACCUCGCGAGAGCAAGCGGACCUCAUAAAGUGCGUCGUAGUCCGGAUUGGAGUCUGCAACUCGACUCCAUGAAGUCGGAAUCGCUAGUAAUCGUGGAUCAGAAUGCCACGGUGAAUACGUUCCCGGGCCUUGUACACACCGCCCGUCACACCAUGGGAGUGGGUUGCAAAAGAAGUAGGUAGCUUAACCUUCGGGAGGGCGCUUACCACUUUGUGAUUCAUGACUGGGGUGAAGUCGUAACAAGGUAACCGUAGGGGAACCUGCGGUUGGA
rnacentral:rRNA from 4 species